rnacentral:rRNA from 1 species
UACGGGGGGGGCAAGCGUUGUUCGGAAUUACUGGGCGUAAAGGGCGCGUAGGUGGCCAACUAAGUCAGACGUGAAAUCCCUCGGCUUAACCGGGGAACUGCGUCUGAUACUGGAUGGCUUGAGUUCGGGAGAGGGAUGCGGAAUUCCAGGUGUAGCGGUGAAAUGCGUAGAUAUCUGGAGGAACACCGGUGGCGAAGGCGGCAUCCUGGACCGAUACUGACGCUGAGGAGCGAAAGCCAGGGGAGCAAACGGG